AUUGUUAAAGAGCAUUUCAGCAUUCACCCUGGUAAUGUUAAAAUAGCUGCCUGUGCCUUUAAGAGAAAACAGUGACGUCAUUAUGCAAGUACGGAGUAGACAGAAGAGUUAUAAUGUUCCAGAAAGAUGAACAUCGAGUACAUAUGAUGUAGGCCUUUCUGGCCCUUCGAGACAUGAUGCCCCAGCAACCUUAGAGUUUAACCCUAGCCUAAUCAUGGGACAAUUUACAAUGACCAAUUAACCUACUAACUGGCACCUCUUUGGACUGUGGGAGGAAACCGAAACACCCAGGAAAUCACACACAUUCUACAGGAAGAACAUACAGACACCUUACAGAUGACAUUGAAAUUGAAUUCUGAACUGCGAUGCCCGAAGAUGAAAUAGUGUUGUGUAAACUACUACACUACUGUGGCACCUGGUUAUCUUUGUGUUUAAAAGUAUAAAGGCAUUGUGUUGGGAUAGGUGAACAAGAUUCUUUUUAGAAGAUCUGUGUAAUUAAAGAUCUUUUAUGUUUCCAAGUUACAACUUCAUGUGGCUCAGGUUAGUCAGUCACAACAGUUUUGAAAAUGAAGGCAGAAGAUACGAAAGAAAGCCUGAAUGAACGUACCAACAGCCUCAAGGACAGCUUCCACCCCACGAGAUGGACUUCUGACCUCACAAUCUACCUCUUUAUUAUAUUAUACCUUAUUGUGCACCCACACUGCACUUUUCCUGUAACAGUUACACUUUAUUCCAUAUUCUGUUAUUUACUUUACCUUGUUCUGCCGCGAUGUACUGUGUAAUGAAUUUAUCCAUACAAACAGCAUGCAAGACAAGCUUUGUACUGUACCUUGGUACCUGUGACAUUCCUAAACCUAUUUCAAUGUUAAUGUCACUGCCAAGAAAGCCCACUUUAUAAUCUUGCACUUUACAGUUUAUCUGCAUGCACUCUUUCAGUAGAUUGUACACGUUAUUCUGCGUUGUUAUUGUUUUACCUUACUCUACCUGAGUGCAUUGUGUAAUGACGUGUAACUGUGUAAACAUAUGCAAGAAUGCUUUUCACUGGAUCUUGGCAUAUGUGAUCACGGAUCAACUUUAUUCGACAGAUACAUUUACAUGUGUUGGUGUGGCAUACAACAAAAAACAGACAUUCAACAAUUAUAAAGAAUAAAAAAAAUAUAAAAAUAAAGUUAGAUGUUAAAAGUACGGAUAUGGAAUAAAAUGUGGAUAAAUACACAAACACCAGCAUGUAUUUACAAUGUUAACAGCUUUAUAAAAAGUGGUUUUAAGUAUUUGCAGUGCAGUGCAGUGACUGAGGUUAACUGCCGGGAGGGGGAAGAAACUUUUUAGAUGGUGUGAACGUUUUGCUGUAAUGGUCCUAUAGCACUUUCCAGAUGGGAGCUUUUGGAAAAGGCAGCUUGCUGGGUGGGUAGUGCCUGCAAUGUUUUUUUCCUGUCCGCUUCUUUGUCCUGGAUACAUACAAGUCGUACAAUAAUGCUACACUGCAACGGCAACAAUAAACUAGUAUCAAUACCAACAUUGCUUCCACCUUAGCAGCUAGUGCAGUAAAGGAGAUUUACAAGCCAUAACAAGGCCUUUUCACCCUCCUCCCCAAGCCUUGUCUUUGUGGUUCCUUUUCCACCUUCAACCUUUCUGUACCUAAUUUUCAGAAUCUCAAACAUUACCAGAAUCUGAAUGAGCAAAAGGUCACCAACACAAUACAUGAACACUUUAUUCAAAUGUGUAAUCUAACCACUAAACCAAGGCAAUAUUUGCAGCUGACCUCAGGUCAUCGUGCUUUUAA